rnacentral:rRNA from 1 species
UACGAAGGGGGCUAGCGUUGUUCGGAAUUACUGGGCGUAAAGCGCACGUAGGCGGACAUUUAAGUCAGGGGUGAAAUCCCAGAGCUCAACUCUGGAACUGCCUUUGAUACUGGGUGUCUUGAGUAUGGAAGAGGUGAGUGGAAUUCCGAGUGUAGAGGUGAAAUUCGUAGAUAUUCGGAGGAACACCAGUGGGCGAAGGCGGCUCACUGGUCCAUUACUGACGCUGAGGUGCGAAAGCGUGGGGAGCAAACAGG